ACAACAAGCCGGCAUGCAGCGUGUCGGCUGGGAGCAAACCGUGCAGAGGGAGCUCUGGAAGGGACCACAGCCGCAGCCUGCACCCCUGCCCUGAGAGCCCCAGCCUGGAGAGGACCCAGAACCUUCCGUCCCGCUCAGAGCAGGAGUCCAAUCUGGGCCACCCUCUCCACCGAGCCAUGAGGACCUGCUGCCCUGAUGGCCUACGGGAGACUGAGCUGAGGACCGGGACGUCCCAGGCCUCGGGGACGCUGGCAAGCCAGCUGUUGGACCUCUCGCUUGGCCACACGAACUUGAAAAAAGGAAGAAAGGAUGGAAGGAGGCAGGCGGCCGGGUCGGUGCACGUCGGGACCCUACUUCUGACCUCCUCCCCAGUUCUGACCCCCUUUUGUGUCAUGCGUCCCCAGCCUCACUUUCCUCCCUGAGCCCACACAUGGCUGCAUUGCUCAGCUGGCCAGCACUCAAGACUCUCUCCUUCCACCUGAUGUUGUGGCCAUUCACGAUGUAUCAGAGACAGAUGCUUUUUAGACCAGCCUGAGCCCCUCAGUGGCCCCCUGUGGACCCUUCUGCCUGGGCUCGCACCCUCUUCCCAGCCAUGGCGGCCAGAGCGGGCCUGGGGAGCAGAGCUGGUCGCUGGCUUGGCCGAGUCAACCACAUCCUGCAGGCUGCAUGGCUGCAUGGCCUGGCAGAGCUCAAUCCCAUUGCGGCAGCUUCUGUCCCAGGAAUCCCGUCACCCUGGCCGCUUCCCACAUGCAGCCGCGGUUACCUCAGUGCGCUGUGACCCUGUGACCGCACAGCACUGCCCUUUGAGGGGCCCUGACUCCCCUUGUUCGUGUCUUGCUGUGGCUUUUUCUGAGGCUGAGCUCAGGCAGUUGGGUCCCAGGUUGUGAGCUGCUGGGAGGGAGAAAAGAC